rnacentral:sRNA from 1 species
UUUUUUUCUUGCUUUUGGCAAAUGCGACCAGUCAGGAAAUGCUAGUCAAAAGAUACUGAUAUCAAAAAUAUCAAUGGGCUGAUACUGAUUAAGCUCAUUGUAAUUGUUUUGUCAAU